rnacentral:rRNA from 1 species
CCUACGGGAGGCAGCAGUGAGGAAUAUUGGUCAAUGGUCGGGAGACUGAACCAGCCAAGCCGCGUGAGGGAGGAAGGUACAGAGUAUCGUAAACCUCUUUUGUCAGGGAACAAAGGCGGGGACGUGUCCCCGGAUGAGUGUACCUGAAGAAAAAGCAUCGGCUAACUCCGUGCCAGCAGCCGCGGUAAUACGGGGGAUGCGAGCGUUAUCCGGAUUUAUUGGGUUUAAAGGGUGCGCAGGCGGUCUGUUCAGUCAGCGGUCAAACCCCGGGGCUCAACCCCGGCCCGCCGUUGAAACUGGCAGUCUCGAGUGGGAGAGAAGUAGGCGGAAUGCGCGGUGUAGCGGUGAAAUGCAUAGAUAUCGCGCAGAACUCCGAUUGCGAAGGCAGCAUGCCGGCUCCACACUGACGCUGAGGCACGAAAGCGUGGGUAUCGAACAGGAUUAGAUACCCUUGUAGUC